UGAUGACAUUUUUAUUAUCACAGACGGGGAAAUGACAAACUUAAGAGAUCAUUUUCAAAAUAUAGAUUAGAGUAACACUUGUCUGUCCAGAUCUAUUGAGCCACAGCUUUGUCAUCAUAUUUUCAUCCUGAUCAAAUACAGUCGCUCGCUGUUUCUGUCUGGUCCUCCGUAGCAUUUUCUCUCUUUCAGUCGAGGACUUGAAGAGAUGAAUAACAUUUUUAGACAUGAAUAGUUGUGAAUUAACGCCGCCUUCAACUGAAUAAGCUGAAUUUAUCUGAAUCAAUGUUGCUUUUUUGACUGUUAAUGUUACAGAGUGUCAGUCUUUCAGUUUGUUUUGCUAAUAGUCAGCAGAAUACUUGAGAAGCUAGUUGCAAUGUGUCAGCAAAAUUAGCGUGUGUGCUGUUUCUUUGGUUAACUCUAUCAAUAAACAUUGAGUUUAUUAGCAUUGCUUUCUUUUAAAUGUUACUAUAUGCUAGCAUUGCAGAAACGAUAGCCAUGAAGUUAGCUACUGUACUGUACUUCAUUAGCCUGUGGUUGCUAGCUGAGUAGGUAAAAUCAUUGAUAACAGAUCUUCUGGGGAAACAUUGUUUACCUGGGAUGAUAUCGUUAGCUCAUCAGACGGUGUAUGUUGGGUCGUAGCUACUGCUAGCUCUGUAGAUAAUAUUAGCUAAUGAGUGAACAAUUUCUAGCUAAAUAAAAAGGCUGGAGUAUCUGGUUAUUACAAAGCUUAUAGCUAACAUAAUUAGAAUAUGCGGCUUAUCUCAUCCGAUUUAGGUCUUUGACAGACCUGACCUCACUGUAGUGGUUUCUUACAGUGGGCAGUUCUGCAUUUAUCUGAUAUUUAUUUGUUUCAGCCUCGGAUGAUCCCGGAGACAUUGUGUGGUUUAUCUUCGUGCUAUUUUGUCUGUGCUAAAUGACUAUAACUCGUAUUUGCCAGGUAGAAACAGACCAGCUAGAGUCCAACCCUGACUCAGUGACAGGAUGGACUUCUCCAUCUCCAUGUUUUGGUCUCGCACUCAGACUGCAACGCCCUGCGAUGUCCCAGCAGCCAGAGGUUUGAUCCUGGGACGUACACCUCCUGCCACAGCUCUGCACUGCUGCUGAUGCAUGAAAUCCUGCAGCAAACUGUGGCCAUGACAAACCUGCACGGGACUCACUCAGUGGGUUAUGUGGACACAGACUAACUGCGUUUGUGUUAACAGGUCAAAAAAUGAAUCCGUUUAAAUCUGCAGGGUGCUGCUGCGAGCCCCUCUCAUCAGCGGUGUUACUUUUGCACGGACAGAAAGAGCAGAGCUGGCAGCAGCGCCGGAAGCUUCCAUGCAAAGACCAGCCUGUGCGUUUGCUCCACCUCAGCUGGAGUCCCUCUUUAAAGGGUUAAUAUUGUAAUAAUAUAUGAAAUGUUGCUGCCAAUGACCUAUCUCAAGAAUCCUAUACUACUUAUUGAAAUAAUUUUAGUUUUAAUAAUAAACAUCAGCAGCUGUACGGGUGUGCAAACAUGCUGUUCUAUAAAGGGUUAAAAUCCCAAAAGUAUCAUUAAAUACGAGUCGUUUUUAAAAAACUGAUAUUUUCACAGCUUUUUUGGGGAAGUUGCCGUUUUGUGGUCACGAGUGUCAGAUGUCUUUUUUAUUUUGACGUUAGAUUAUUUGCUGCAAUCAUACAGCAGUUUAAGGGAAGGUGUCUGUCGAAGCGCUCGAAUUAAACUACCUCAAACUCUGAGCAGCUGGAUAGUUACUGUCUGCUUAUUGCAGCUCUUUAAUGAGACAUGCAGUACAUGUUAAAUUAUUACCUGUCGGGUAGUAAAGAGCUUUUGAAAAAUCCAUAUUUGUCUCACACAGAGACACGUCUUCCCUAAAACUGCUCUAACGUCAGGUGUGCCGGUCGUUUCUGUGUUAUGUGGUUAUAAAGGUGAGAAAUAUUAACUUUGAAGGUAAUUUCCCACAAAAACGACAAGCUGUGCUGUUUCACAAGCCUCGGUGUCUGUCAGUGUGCGCUGCUGUGUUUGUCUUGGCCUGCGUGGAGCACCUCCAUGCCAAAGCACGUUACCACCCUUGUUGGCGUGCAACCUCGAGUGACGAGAAGCCGGCAGGAGCGAGCGAGGAGAGGCGGUGAUGCAAAGGUUGUGGUUUCCUUUAAUAGCCCCGCAGACACGAUGAGCGCCAUCGUCUUCGUUUUCACUAAACUACCGAGAAAACUGGAGUGUCUGCGCUGAGCCGGCGCUGCUGUCACGUUCAGCCUGAAGCAGAAAAGAACACAAAAGGAAGCCGGGGUAAAAAAUCAGACAAGUUGCAACUGAAAAGACAAAAGAUAAGAGUCAGUCAGGCUGGUGGAAGGAGGCGAAUGAGCGUGAUCAGAGAAUGCUGCCGUGCCCCACAGCUGAAACUAGUGCACUGCAGUGUUGAGCUAGUUAGAAAUUACUGUUCCCUUUACCCUGCGCUGAACCUCAGCUACUGCUCUGGGAGUGCGCCUUCCUGUGUUCGCCUCUUUGAGGUUGGAAAAUCAUGCAGUCAUGUUUUAUUAAUGCUCUCUGUGUGUCUGUCUCGCGCUCCGUCUUUCUCUCCCGUUUUGACUGCUUCCCCACAAAAGUGAAGAAGAGAUUUGGAACAGCGUGUUUUAUUUGUUCUGCAUCCUCUUUUCACGUUGAAUCGAGCCGCUUUAUGUAGGUUGAGGUUUUGAUUUGGAGGGGAACUGAAACCGGUUAGCGAGGUCGG
ensembl:lncRNA